rnacentral:rRNA from 1 species
GGGUUGUGAGGUUAAGCGACUAAGCGUACACGGUGGAUGCCUUGGCAGUCAGAGGCGAUGAAGGACGUGCUAAUCUGCGAUAAGCGUCGGUAAGGUGAUAUGAACCGUUAUAACCGGCGAUUUCCGAAUGGGGAAACCCAGUGUGUUUCGUCACACUAUCAUUAACUGAAUCCAUAGGUUAAUGAGGCGAACCGGGGGAACUGAAACAUCUAAGUAUCCCGAGGAAAAGAAAUCAACCGAGAUUCCCUCAGUAGCGGCGAGCGAACGGGGAGCAGCCCAGAGCCUGAAUCAGUAUGUGUGUUAGUGGAAGCGUCUGGAAAGGCGCGCGAUACAGGGUGACAGCCCCGUACACAAAAAUGCACAUAUUGUGAGCUCGAUGAGUAGGGCGGGACACGUGGUAUCCUGUCUGAAUAUGGGGGGACCAUCCUCCAAGGCUAAAUACUCCUGACUGACCGAUAGUGAACCAGUACCGUGAGGGAAAGGCGAAAAGAACCCCGGCGAGGGGAGUGAAAAAGAACCUGAAACCGUGUACGUACAAGCAGUGGGAGCACGCUUAGGCGUGUGACUGCGUACCUUUUGUAUAAUGGGUCAGCGACUUAUAUUCUGUAGCAAGGUUAACCGAAUAGGGGAGCCGAAGGGAAACCGAGUCUUAACUGGGCGUUAAGUUGCAGGGUAUAGACCCGAAACCCGGUGAUCUAGCCAUGGGCAGGUUGAAGGUUGGGUAACACUAACUGGAGGACCGAACCGACUAAUGUUGAAAAAUUAGCGGAUGACUUGUGGCUGGGGGUGAAAGGCCAAUCAAACCGGGAGAUAGCUGGUUCUCCCCGAAAGCUAUUUAGGUAGCGCCUCGUGAAUUCAUCUCCGGGGGUAGAGCACUGUUUCGGCAAGGGGGUCAUCCCGACUUACCAACCCGAUGCAAACUGCGAAUACCGGAGAAUGUUAUCACGGGAGACACACGGCGGGUGCUAACGUCCGUCGUGAAGAGGGAAACAACCCAGACCGCCAGCUAAGGUCCCAAAGUCAUGGUUAAGUGGGAAACGAUGUGGGAAGGCCCAGACAGCCAGGAUGUUGGCUUAGAAGCAGCCAUCAUUUAAAGAAAGCGUAAUAGCUCACUGGUCGAGUCGGCCUGCGCGGAAGAUGUAACGGGGCUAAACCAUGCACCGAAGCUGCGGCAGCGACGCUGAUGCGUUGUUGGGUAGGGGAGCGUUCUGUAAGCCUGUGAAGGUGUGCUGUGAGGCAUGCUGGAGGUAUCAGAAGUGCGAAUGCUGACAUAAGUAACGAUAAAGCGGGUGAAAAGCCCGCUCGCCGGAAGACCAAGGGUUCCUGUCCAACGUUAAUCGGGGCAGGGUGAGUCGACCCCUAAGGCGAGGCCGAAAGGCGUAGUCGAUGGGAAACAGGUUAAUAUUCCUGUACUUGGUGUUACUGCGAAGGGGGGACGGAGAAGGCUAUGUUGGCCGGGCGACGGUUGUCCCGGUUUAAGCGUGUAGGCUGGUUUUCCAGGCAAAUCCGGAAAAUCAAGGCUGAGGCGUGAUGACGAGGCACUACGGUGCUGAAGCAACAAAUGCCCUGCUUCCAGGAAAAGCCUCUAAGCAUCAGGUAACAUCAAAUCGUACCCCAAACCGACACAGGUGGUCAGGUAGAGAAUACCAAGGCGCUUGAGAGAACUCGGGUGAAGGAACUAGGCAAAAUGGUGCCGUAACUUCGGGAGAAGGCACGCUGAUAUGUAGGUGAAGUCCCUCGCGGAUGGAGCUGAAAUCAGUCGAAGAUACCAGCUGGCUGCAACUGUUUAUUAAAAACACAGCACUGUGCAAACACGAAAGUGGACGUAUACGGUGUGACGCCUGCCCGGUGCCGGAAGGUUAAUUGAUGGGGUCAGCGCAAGCGAAGCUCUUGAUCGAAGCCCCGGUAAACGGCGGCCGUAACUAUAACGGUCCUAAGGUAGCGAAAUUCCUUGUCGGGUAAGUUCCGACCUGCACGAAUGGCGUAAUGAUGGCCAGGCUGUCUCCACCCGAGACUCAGUGAAAUUGAACUCGCUGUGAAGAUGCAGUGUACCCGCGGCAAGACGGAAAGACCCCGUGAACCUUUACUAUAGCUUGACACUGAACAUUGAGCCUUGAUGUGUAGGAUAGGUGGGAGGCUUGGAAGUGUGGACGCCAGUCUGCAUGGAGCCGACCUUGAAAUACCACCCUUUAAUGUUUGAUGUUCUAACGUGGACCCGUGAUCCGGGUUGCGGACAGUGUCUGGUGGGUAGUUUGACUGGGGCGGUCUCCUCCUAAAGAGUAACGGAGGAGCACGAAGGUUGGCUAAUCCUGGUCGGACAUCAGGAGGUUAGUGCAAUGGCAUAAGCCAGCUUGACUGCGAGCGUGACGGCGCGAGCAGGUGCGAAAGCAGGUCAUAGUGAUCCGGUGGUUCUGAAUGGAAGGGCCAUCGCUCAACGGAUAAAAGGUACUCCGGGGAUAACAGGCUGAUACCGCCCAAGAGUUCAUAUCGACGGCGGUGUUUGGCACCUCGAUGUCGGCUCAUCACAUCCUGGGGCUGAAGUAGGUCCCAAGGGUAUGGCUGUUCGCCAUUUAAAGUGGUACGCGAGCUGGGUUUAGAACGUCGUGAGACAGUUCGGUCCCUAUCUGCCGUGGGCGCUGGAGAACUGAGGGGGGCUGCUCCUAGUACGAGAGGACCGGAGUGGACGCAUCACUGGUGUUCGGGUUGUCAUGCCAAUGGCACUGCCCGGUAGCUAAAUGCGGAAGAGAUAAGUGCUGAAAGCAUCUAAGCACGAAACUUGCCCCGAGAUGAGUUCUCCCUGACUCCUUGAGAGUCCUGAAGGAACGUUGAAGACGACGACGUUGAUAGGCCGGGUGUGUAAGCGCAGCGAUGCGUUGAGCUAACCGGUACUAAUGAACCGUGAGGCUUAACCUUACAACGCCGAAG